UAGCGUUGCUCGGAAUCACUGGGCGUAAAGCGCACGCAGGCGGCUUCUUAAGUCAGGGGUGAAAUCCUGGAGCUCAACUCCAGAACUGCCUUUGAUACUGGGAAGCUUGAGUCCGGAAGAGGUGAGUGGAACUCCGAGUGUAGAGGUGAAAUUCGUAGAUAUUCGGAAGAACACCAGUGGCGAAGGCGGCUCACUGGUCCGGUACUGACGCUGAGGUGCGAAAGCGUGGGGAGCAAACAGG
rnacentral:rRNA from 1 species